UACGGAGGAUCCGAGCGUUAUCCGGAUUUAUUGGGUUUAAAGGGUGCGCAGGCGGAAGAUUAAGUCGGUGGUGAAAUUUUGCAGCUCAACUGUAAAAGUGCCAUUGAUACUGGUUUUCUUGAGUGUGGAUGAAGUAGGCGGAAUUUGUGGUGUAGCGGUGAAAUGCUUAGAUAUCACGAGGAACUCCGAUUGCGCAGGCAGCUUACUAAACUACUACUGACGCUCAGGCACGAAGGCGUGGGGAUCAAACAGGAUUAGAUACCCU
rnacentral:rRNA from 1 species